AUGGCCGCCAACGGCCAGCCGGCGGCGGCGGCCGCCACCAUCGACGACCUCCCUGAAAACCUGCUGCUCGAUAUCUUCCUCCGCCUUCCCUCCCUCUCGGACCUCGUCCGCGCCGCCUGCACCUGCCUGCCCUGGCGCAACCUGGUGACCAAUUUCCCCCCUUCCGUCGUCAAUUCAUCGACCUCCACCCGGCGCCCCUCCUCGGCCUCUUCUUCGGCACACCAUUUCCAAAUGUCCCUCACAAUGACUUCCAGUGUAUCCCGGCCUUCGCCCCCGCCCGCCGGAAUGAUCCGGAGCUCGUGGCCGCCAUCUUGA
rnacentral:rRNA from 1 species